UACGUAGGGGGCUAGCGUUGUCCGGAUUUAUUGGGCGUAAAGAGCGUGUAGGCGGCCAGGUAGGUCGGUUGUGAAAAAUGGAGGCUCAACCUUCAGGCGUCGACCCAAACCCCCUGGCUAGAGUCCGGAAGAGGAGAGUGGAAUUCCUGGUGUAGCGGUGAAAUGCGCAGAUAUCAGGAAGAACACCCGUGGCGAAGGCGGCUCUCUGGGACGGUACUGACGCUGAGACGCGAAAGCGUGGGGAGCGAACAGG
rnacentral:rRNA from 1 species